AUAAUGACUCUCGGCAACGGAUAUCUCGGCUCUCGCAUCAAUGAAGAAUGUAGCGAAAUGCGAUAGUUGGUUUGAAUUGUAGAAUCCCGUGAACCAUCGAGUCUUUGAACGCAAGUUGCGCCCUAAGCCAUUAGGCUGAGGGUACGUCUGCCUGGGUGUCACGC
rnacentral:rRNA from 1 species